ACAUUAUACAUGUUUUUAUGUAGAAUUUGUCUUAAAAUAGCAUUCUAAAUUAUCUUUCAAAAGCUUAUUUCUACUCAAUCUAUUUAGGUAUUAGAUAUAGUUAUACAUUCAAAUGAAUGUAAAAAAUAAAAUGAUGGGUGCUAUGGUUUUUGGAAAACCCCUCACAAUUUAAAAUUAUAAUGGACUGUCCAUGCAGUUACACGUUGUAAAGUUUGAAUUCAAAGGUAUUGGGGUCAGUUAAAGCUUGUAAACACAAAGGAAAUUAUUGAUAUUGUAGCAAUUCUGGAGAUAUUUUGUUUAAAAUGUAAGGGUGCAUAUUUUUGAUUUCUCAAAGAAAACAUUUAAAGUCUUAUUAGUGUGGUAAAUAUAAAUGAGAAGUUUUAACUGAAGUGUGAAUGUGUAGACAAGAAGAUAAACAGCAGAAUCAUUCCCAGUCAAAGUUUCAGGUAAACAACUUUUACAUACAAUAAUUAUUGUUAUUUAUGCAGAAACUGUUUAGUUUUUUGACAGUAAAAAUAUGAAGUGGUAUUGUAUAAAAUUGUGUUUUAUAUUUGUUUUGUUUGUAACUUGACUAAAAAGAAAGCUGCAUGUACAAUGUACAUAUAAAGAAUGUAGGAAUAUAAAGAAUGUAGGAAGAUCUUCAUCAUUUCUUAAAUACAAUAUGUUAGAAAUUUUAAGUUUGAGAAAAAAAUUAUAGAAAUUAAUCAACACAAAGCAAUGAGGAGCAGCCUGGAGCAACACAUUUGAUCUUCAGUGGCUUUACAAAGGACCAAGUGAUGGCAGAACUGAAGCCAUAUGCCUCAAAAGAGAAAGGUACAGCAAAGCUCUUCAGAAUGCUAUUCAAUAUAGAAGAGAUUAAAGGCGGCUCAUUGUUUGGUAUGAGGAAAGGGAACAGAGAGUCUGAAGCCAGACCUUCUUGUGCAGACAAGGCAAAACUUAAGUUCUUGGAAGAUUGUGCGCUCGAAAAGUUGCCGACAACCUAAAGGACUGAACUCAAACCGUCCAGGAAUAGCAAGAUAAACUGAAGAAAAUAAAUGGACUUAUGUUUUGCUAUUUUUUGAGACAAUAUAUAAUUUCAUAUGGAAACAUUAAAAAGGAUUAUUUUUAAAAUUUGUUUGUUUCCAAUUUAGGGUACAGGGUGACUUUCAAGCAGUUUCCAGCUAUUGCCACCCACAAGGUGGAAAAUUUCUGAAAGGGUGAAAAUAGGUGGCAUUUAGUGGAAACUGAAUUUGCCACUAUCUGGUGGCAAAAUGGUGGAAAAGUGUCUAAAUACUCCACCAAUUUUCCACCCUUAUGGUGGCAAAAGGUGGAAAUAAGUGGCAUUUGGUGGAAAAAUUAAGUUUGCCACUCAAUGGUGGCAUAAUGGUGGAAAUUUGUCUAAAUACUCCACCAAUUUUCCACCAUUAUGGUGGCAAUAAGUGGAAACAAGUGGCAUCUAGUGGAAAAUGAGUUUGCCACCCUAAGGUGGCAUA